rnacentral:rRNA from 2 species
AGACCCGAAACCCGGUGAUCUAGCCAUGGGCAGGUUGAAGGUUGGGUAACACUAACUGGAGGACCGAACCGACUAAUGUUGAAAAAUUAGCGGAUGACCUGUGGCUGGGGGUGAAAGGCCAAUCAAACCGGGAGAUAGCUGGUUCUCCCCGAAAGCUAUUUAGGUAGCGCCUCGUGAAUUCAUCUCCGGGGGUAGAGCACUGUUUCGGCUAGGGGGCCAUCCCGGCUUACCAACCCGAUGCAAACUGCGAAUACCGGAGAAUGUUAUCACGGGAGACACACGGCGGGUGCUAACGUCCGUCGUGAAGAGGGAAACAACCCAGACCGCCAGCUAAGGUCCCAAAGUCAUGGUUAAGUGGGAAACGAUGUGGGAAGGCCCAGACAGCCAGGAUGUUGGCUUAGAAGCAGCCAUCAUUUAAAGAAAGCGUAAUAGCUCACUGGUCGAGUCGGCCUGCGCGGAAGAUGUAACGGGGCUAAACCAUGCACCGAAGCUGCGGCAGCGAACGUAUCACCCAAGACAACUUUACGGAGUUGACGAUUGACGGAGCGAAGCGACGUCAAAGCGUUCAUUAAAGUCGAGUUGGCUUAGGGAUACGUUCGUUGGGUAGGGGAGCGUUCUGUAAGCCUGUGAAGGUGUGUCGUGAGGCAUGCUGGAGGUAUCAGAAGUGCGAAUGCUGACAUAAGUAACGAUAAAGCGGGUGAAAAGCCCGCUCGCCGGAAGACCAAGGGUUCCUGUCCAACGUUAAUCGGGGCAGGGUGAGUCGACCCCUAAGGCGAGGCCGAAAGGCGUAGUCGAUGGGAAACGGGUUAAUAUUCCCGUACUUGGUGUUACUGCGAAGGGGGGACGGAGAAGGCUAUGUUGGCCGGGCGACGGUUGUCCCGGUUUAAGCGUGUAGGUGUGUGUUCCAGGUAAAUCCGGUUCACUUUAACACUGAGGCGUGACGACGAGGCACUACGGUGCUGAAGCAACAAAUGCCCUGCUUCCAGGAAAAGCCUCUAAGCAUCAGGUAACACGAAAUCGUACCCCAAACCGACACAGGUGGUCAGGUAGAGAAUACCAAGGCGCUUGAGAGAACUCGGGUGAAGGAACUAGGCAAAAUGGUGCCGUAACUUCGGGAGAAGGCACGCUGACACGUAGGUGAAGUGAUUUACUCAUGGAGCUGAAGUCAGUCGAAGAUACCAGCUGGCUGCAACUGUUUAUUAAAAACACAGCACUGUGCAAACACGAAAGUGGACGUAUACGGUGUGACGCCUGCCCGGUGC